GAUGAACGCUGGCGGCGUGCCUAAUACAUGCAAGUCGAGCGAACGGACGAGAAGCUUGCUUCUCUGAUGUUAGCGGCGGACGGGUGAGUAACACGUGGAUAACCUACCUAUAAGACUGGGAUAACUUCGGGACACCGGAGCUAAUACCGGAUGAUAUUUUGAACCGCAUGGUUCAAAAGUGAAAGACGGUCUUGCUGUCACUUAUAGAUGGAUCCGCGCUGCAUUAGCUAGUUGGUAAGGUAACGGCUUACCAAGGCAACGAUGCAUAGCCGACCUGAGAGGGUGCUCGGCCACACUGGAACUGAGACACGGUCCAGACUCCUACGGGAGGCAGCAGUAGGGAAUCUUCCGCAAUGGGCGAAAGCCUGACGGAGCAACGCCGCGUGAGUGAUGAAGGUCUUCGGAUCGUAAAACUCUGUUAUUAGGGAAGAACAUAUGUGUAAGUAACUGUGCACAUCUUGACGGUACCUAAUCAGAAAGCCACGGCUAACUACGUG
rnacentral:rRNA from 1 species